rnacentral:rRNA from 1 species
GACGAACGCUGGCGGCGUGCUUAACACAUGCAAGUCGAACGGUAAGGCCCUUCGGGGUACACGAGUGGCGAACGGGUGAGUAACACGUGGGUGAUCUGCCCUGCACUUCGGGAUAAGCCUGGGAAACUGGGUCUAAUACCGGAUAGGACUCCGGACUGCAUGGUCUGGGGUGGAAAGCUUUUGCGGUGUGGGAUGGGCCCGCGGCCUAUCAGCUUGUUGGUGGGGUGAUGGCCUACCAAGGCGACGACGGGUAGCCGGCCUGAGAGGGUGACCGGCCACACUGGGACAGAGAUACGGCCCAGACUCCUACGGGAGGCGGCAGUGGGGAAUAUUGCACAAUGGGCGCAAGCCUGAUGCAGCGACGCCGCGUGAGGGAUGACGGCCCUCGGGUUGUAAACCUCUUUCAGCACCGACGAAGCGCAAGUGACGGUAGGUGCAGAAGAAGGACCGGCCAACUACGUGCCAGCCGCCGCGGUAA